CUCGAACUCGGUUGACUCGAAAUUUCGGAUGAGUCGAAGUUUUCACGUGGUCCCGAACUUUAUUCCAUACAAAAGUAUGUAAUUCGACUCCUGAUGAUUCGAAAUUGGAUUAGUCGAAAUUUCGGUUGAGUCGAACUAAAUUUACGGUCCCAAGGUUAACAAAAGCAUUCAAAAUUAAUUUUUUAUCUCGAACUAAUACACAUAUGUCAAAACAUGACCUCCGGGAUUUAAUGGAUUGAAUAGUUAAUCUG
rnacentral:lncRNA from 1 species